GAAUUAUUUAGUAAAUAAAUAACUGUUAUUAUUACAAGAAUAAAUUCUACAUAUGUAUGUGUAAAGAUGCUAGUGUACACCCAGCUUCUGUAAUUGCUGUCUGGCUAAUGAACUGUGGAAUUGGAAGAUUCAAUUGCCUUUGAUCUAAAAUAUGCUUCUUCUGCAUUUGUCAUCCGGUUUUGGAACAUAGUCCACUCCUUUCUGCACCUCUCUCUCACCUGCCAUUAAUAUAGAGAGCUCAUUGUAUUUCAUAAACAGGUUAAUGAGAAUAACAAUUUCACAUUUGCAAUUACCUGCUCCAGUUUUACACAAGCAAACUCGUGACGUUUCAACAAGAAUAUUUUAGUGUUGUCACAUGUUGGUUUGAAAUAAGGUACUUGUGCUAAAUGUAAGACUUUGACAAACUUUCUCUUCUUAAGCUAACUUUUAGGAUAGAGUUAAACUCAGUCUAUUUUCUCUAUAUUUAAUAUAAAGGAACAGCACCGAGACAGCAUGAGAGAGCCUGUCGGGAAAGAAUGAAAGUUCUCGUACUAUUUUUGCACUUGGCCACUCAUUCCUACUUGAUAUUAAUACAUGGCAUGCAUGACAAUUUUUCCAAAAAAAAGGAACAGAUGCAAUGCACAAAAAAUCUCUAUUGCAUGUUAUGCUCAUGGAGUGUCUGAUAAGAAGUACUAAGUAACUCAGCAUAACAGCAAGUGCUUAGACCUUUUCACCACAAAGAGAGACAAGUGGGGAGCGGUUCAUAAACACAGCUAUGAAAAAAAAGAAGUGAAUCAAGUAAGAAAUUUGCUUUGCGUACCGUUUGCCAUGGUGCCUUCCCAUUUUGUGACUCACCCUAGCAGAAGUAACCAAGUGGUAAGCACUUAAUUCCAGCACGUAUAAAGAUGGUAAGGGAAGGAAGAGGAAGUUGACCAAAACCUAGGAUAUAUCCCUUUACCUGGUUUCCAAGCGAGGGAAUAGUUUGAUGAACAAUCCAUUGAGAAUCUACAACUCCUAUCUUCUCAUGAGCAGGCUCUACACAUUUUCUAAGGGCGAAGUCAAGACCCCAUCCAUGGACCAAGUCAUUCUACAAAUUUCCAGUUUAUGGUAAUCAAAAUUCACUGUAACACAGUAAUGGGCCAAGGAAAAAGAGAGAAAGGGAGGCCUAACAGGUUAUGAUAGGAAUAAGGUUAGCACUACGUUAUGUACCUGAAUCAUAUGCCACACACAGCGCCAUGCAUUUCGUGAAAACACUGUAGCCAUGAUCUCAACAAAACUGUAUCAACAAGGGUACAAACUCUUUAAGCAUUUUGCACUCCACUGUAAGUUGAAUCUUGGCAGGAUAUCCAAUGGUAUAUAAAAAUGAUAACAACAUAGAUGGUCAAAUUUUCAUACGCUGCACAGGGUGGUAGAUGUGGGUCAGUGCACCAGCCUGGUCUCUCUUCUGUUAUUUUGUGAACUUCACGAUCACCUCUUCUCUUUGUCAUCUGCCAGGUUAAUCCUUUGUUAGGGUCUAAACCAGGCUGUGAAAUCUCCAGACCAUGUUUCCUUACCAGUUUAAUGUAUUCCUCUGCAUCAAAAUGCUCUACCCCAAGAUCCUCAUCCCACAUAAAAAUAUAGUCAUAGGGUGCAACAAUGUCAGGAUGUAGAAAACGUUUGGCAUACCACCACUUUGUUUGCUUCGAAGCACUCACGUGGAUGGCUCGCUUUGACCACUCAAACUCAUCCCAUUCCGUUGUCCGACCAUCAUAAUGAAAUAACAGAAUGGUGAAGUUAUCUGAGAACUUUCUAAUUGCUGCAUCAAUAUUAUUUUUCUGAUCAUAGCCAACCGUAAAAGUAACCAGAUACUUUGGUUUGGUGGCCAAGUCCUCUUCAGGCAGACCCCACAAUCGACGGAGGUAGAAAUCUGAUUCAGACUCUAUUAUACCAGGAGGUAAUCUCUCAGCUCCUCGAGGAUUUGUUGGAACCCAUAUCUGAAUCAGAAUCAGAGGAAUAAUAAUUAGUACUAACAGAUAAAAUCUGUGGAUAAAGCAGCCAAUGUAUUUGGUAAUCAGAUAAUAUGACAAUGACACUAGCAUAACAUCAAAGUUUGGUACAGAUAGAGGCAACUGCAACAGGUAUUGGGACUGGAAACUCAUUCUCAAUUUGAUGCCACUAAAGGUUCAAAAAAGCAUGAGUUCCAUAUUUCUAGAGGAUGUGCAAAUUUUUAUUUUUAUUUUAUUCUUUUUACUUUGACAAUAUCUGCUUGCUUGAUAACCCAUUUUAACAAUAAAAAAAUGAGGGCAAUCUUAGAUGCAAUUGAAUUUAGAAGAGGACUAGCAAGAUCAUCAAAUUCUAAAAAUGUUUAGUGAAUGAAAGUAAUUAAACAAAGGUAUCUCAGGUGAAAACAACAGACUCAAAGAUGACUUAAUUUGCAGUUGUUCAGCUACUCGACUACUCGUACCAAACUCUGGGUCUGUUAACAAAUAGAGUCAUGGUUUAGCUUUUUUCUUGCAUAAAACUAGUUAAGAUUGAUAAUUAAGAAUAGAAUAGCUGCAAUUGGUAUGCAAUACUAUAAUGGGUUUUAAGAUAAGGAUACAACUGGGGCGAACUGCAUGAGUAUAAUUAAAUAAAGAUUACAUACCUUUGUAUCAUUAUAUAUGUGAAGUGGAGAGUUGGCUUUGUUACCCUUUAGAGACGACCAAGCAUUGAACAGUGCUUGGGUUGAAAGACCAGAGUACUUGUCCUCAAUAUACGUGAGAUCAAUGGAAGGAAAUAGGCUGGAUGGAAGAUUGAUCUUAGAUAGUGAGAGUGUUGGAAAUGAUAUUCCUAAAAAGAAGCCAAAAAUAAUUCCAACAAAAGUUGUCAUGAAAAGCCUCAUCAUCUCGUUAGGUUUUCUUGUAUAUCCA
rnacentral:misc_RNA from 1 species